rnacentral:rRNA from 1 species
UACGAAGGGUGCAAGCGUUAAUCGGAAUUACUGGGCGUAAAGGGUGCGUAGGCGGCGCGGUAAGUCGGGUGUGAAAUCUCGGAGCUUAACUCCGAAACUGCAUUCGAUACUGCCGUGCUUGAGGACUGGAGAGGAGACUGGAAUUUACGGUGUAGCGGUGAAAUGCGUAGAUAUCGUAAGGAAGACCAGUGGCGAAGGCGGGUCUCUGGACAGUUCCUGACGCUGAGGCACGAAGGUCAGGGGAGCAAACGGG